CAAGUUGGCCAGGCGGUCGCGGGCGGCUUGGGGCCGCCUGAGGAAAGUCCGAACUCCGCAGAGCACGGUGCUGGGUAACACCCAGGCGGGGUGACCCGACGGAAAGUGCCACAGAAAACAGACCGCCGACCCCACCUUGUGCGGGUGCGGUAAGGGUGAAACGGUGCGGUAAGAGCGCACCAGCGCCCCCGGUGACGGGGGCGGCUUGGCAAACCCCACCGGGAGCAAGGCCAAGCAGGGGGGAAGGCGUCUGCGGGCGCCGAGGGGCUGCUCGUCCCUUCUGACCCCCGGGUAGGCCGCUGGAGGUAGCGGGUAACCGCUGCCCUAGAGAGAUGACCGCCACCGCGCUUCGGCGCGGGACAGAAUUCGGCUUAUCGGCCAACUUGAGGA
rnacentral:RNase_P_RNA from 1 species